rnacentral:rRNA from 1 species
AGUAAAAGUCGUAACAAGGUCUCCGUUGGUGAACCAGCGGAGGGAUCAUUACAGAGUUGCAAAACUCCCACAAACCAUCGCGAAUCUUACCCGUACGGUUGCCUCGGCGCUGGCGGUCCGGAAAGGCCCUCGGGCCCUCCCGGAUCCUCGGGUCUCCCGCUCGCGGGAGGCUGCCCGCCGGAGUGCCGAAACUAAACUCUUGAUAUUUUAUGUCUCUCUGAGUAAACUUUUAAAUAAGUCAAAACUUUCAACAACGGAUCUCUUGGUUCUGGCAUCGAUGAAGAACGCAGCGAAAUGCGAUAAGUAAUGUGAAUUGCAGAAUUCAGUGAAUCAUCGAAUCUUUGAACGCACAUUGCGCUCGCCAGUAUUCUGGCGAGCAUGCCUGUUCGAGCGUCAUUUCAACCAUCAAGCUCUGCUUGCGUUGGGGAUCCGCGGCUGUCCGCGGUCCCUCAAAAUCAGUGGCGGGCUCGCUAGUCACACCGAGCGUAGUAACUCUACAUCGCUAUGGUCGUGCGGCGGGUUCUUGCCGUAAAACCCCCCAUUUCUAAGGUUGACCUCGGAUCAGGUAGGAAUACCCGCUGAACUUAAGCAUAUCAAUAAGCGGAGGAAAAGAAACCAACAGGGAUUGCCUCAGUAACG